rnacentral:rRNA from 1 species
UGCGUAGGGGGCAAGCGUUAUCCGGAUUUACUGGGUGUAAAGGGGGUGUAGGCGGAGCUGCAAGUCAGAUGUGAAAUCCCGGGGCUCAACCCCGGAACUGCAUUUGAAACUGUAGCCCUUGAGUAUCGGAGAGGCAGGCGGAAUUCCUAGUGUAGCGGUGAAAUGCGUAGAUAUUAGGAGGAACACCAGUGGCGAAGGCGGCCUGCUGGACGACAACUGACGCUGAGGCGCGAAAGCGUGGGGAGCAAACAGG